GAUGAACGCUAGCGGCAGGCCUAACACAUGCAAGUCGAGGGGUAGAGUUCUUCGGGACUUGAGACCGGCGCACGGGUGCGUAACGCGUAUGCAAUCUACCUUAUACAGGGGAAUAGCCCAGAGAAAUUUGGAUUAAUGCCCCAUAGUGUUAUCGAAUCGCAUGGUUUGAUAACUAAAGUUCCAACGGUAUAAGAUGAGCAUGCGUCCCAUUAGUUAGUUGGUAAGGUAACGGCUUACCAAGACAAUGAUGGGUAGGGGUCCUGAGAGGGAGAUCCCCCACACUGGUACUGAGACACGGACCAGACUCCUACGGGAGGCAGCAGUGAGGAAUAUUGGUCAAUGGGCGCAAGCCUGAACCAGCCAUGCCGCGUGCAGGAAGACGGUCCUAUGGAUUGUAAACUGCUUUUGUACGGGAAGAAACCCUAUUACGUGUAAUAGAUUGACGGUACCGUACGAAUAAGGAUCGGCUAACUCCGUG
rnacentral:rRNA from 1 species